rnacentral:rRNA from 1 species
UUUCCCUCAGGAUAGCUGGCACUCGCUUGAGCGAGUCUCAUCUGGUAAAGCGAAUGAUUAGAGGCCUUGGGGCCGAAACGACCUCAACCUAUUCUCAAACUUUAAAUGGGUGAGAUCUCUGGCUUGCUUGAACGUUGAAGCCACGAGAAUCACGGAUCAGAGUGCCAAGUGGGCCAAUUUUGGUAAGCAGAACUGGCGCUGUGGGA